GUUAGUAGACCAUUUCAUUGACCAUCAAAUAAUUGGAAGAACCCUUGCUGUCACACUUUAUAAAACAACUGCCUUGAAUUAGUAGAUAACACUGUUGUUUUAAGAGGUCAGCCUAUCAAAGGGCAGGGUAAUAGUGACUUACUGGACUGAAAACGGUUUCAGAUCUCCUGAUGUCGUACUGGAUGUGUGGCAUAAGUUGCAUGAUUUUCAUUAACUUAUGUAAAACAUCAAGUAGGGCAUCAGAUGAUUUGUCAAGUGCAUAUAUAUCAGCUUUGCAAUUUGUAUGUUUUUCAGGUUCUUGCAGAAUACUUGUCACAAGGGUGUUCAGAAAAGUCAGAGGAAAAACUGUGGGCCAGAUUUGAGAAGAAACUGAAGAAGAUACCGGAAGUUAAAGUUAUAGGAGACAAAGUGAAACUUAAAAAUGCAUCCUAAAAUGAUGGAAUAAAUAACUCCAGAUGCAAAAUCUGUUCUACUCAUGACCCUGCCAUCUGCAGAUCUGUGCAGUCCUUGUUGAGCUAAUCAGGUUUGCUAUAAAUUGAAGUAUCUUUUGCUAUUGAAAACCGCAGGGCAUACUCUGCAUUAAACUCUGCAGUGACAAUACAAUUCAUGAUUGCUCAACCAUUUCCAUUAUUUUGAGAAAAUUGACCUGACAUUUAAUGCAAGAACUGUGAAAAAAGGUCUCAGACUCUGCUUGUUCCUGUGAUUUUUCUGCAAAGUCACUUCUUUUAGUUCAGAUUAGAAGAAAAAAGUCUAUUGUUUUAUUGGAAGGUACAGUGGCAAAACUGCAUCUGGAUUUUUAAAGCUGUAUGGACGAAAAGCAUUUCUUUGCAAAGUCAUAGUCACAUGAAAUUAAUUUUAAGGAUAAUUAUGUUUGGUCAGUAUUUAUAUCACCAUUAUGUUUUUUACAACUGAGAGGAGGACAUAAGGCAAAACAUUGAACAGAACCUUCCCUAUUGACAACACAAUUUAUGUUUGCUUGCUAUGUAGAAAUAGAGGUCAUCAAGACAAACAAAAUUAUAAAAAUGGAGGUUGAGCACUGUAAGUAUCAUGUAACUUAAUAAAUAAGUAAAGAAUCUGCUUUGUUGGUUGACAAACUUUUACUGGCAAAGCCAAAAUUUAAACCAACUCUCUAUAGUAGGUAUAAAAUAAAAACAGGGCCAUCUUGGGUUAAACGUUCGAGUUACUACAUAAAUUCAUAGAAGUGUUGAUAAGACUCCAUCAGCUAUAUUUUCUGCCUCAUUUACAUAAAAUUUAUGAAAUUGAGUCACAUGGAUAUAUUUGGCUACUAGGUCAGGUCAGUAUAGAAAAUCCGGGCACAUUUUACAUGGAUCUUUGUGAAACUCUCUUGUCUGUCUUGAACUUAUUAUGCAUGGAUGGAUAUUCAAAUAACUUUGUACAGAUAUAAUUAUUUUGGUUUGGGGUAUAAAAGGCUUUUGAAAUAAUGUCACAAUGGACAAUGGAAGACGUUUUUAAUUAAGUUGUGUUUGAAGUAGUGUUUCAUCCAUUCCAGGUGGGAACUUUCGUCGACUACCCACGUUAAACAAGAAACUACCUUUACUUUACCUUUGUUUUACUUUGUCAUAAAGAGCAGGGUUCAUCGUGAUCCACUUGGUUACAUUUUAUUUGACAACCGUUUGCCAAGUCGGGAUUAUAUUAAGAUAUCGGGGAAUUCCAUCUCUAUCUGUGAAUGAAUAUAACAAACAAACAUCAGGACAGAUAAACUUGCUCCCAACAAGAAAAUAGCUUUAUUAUGACCUGGAUAAUCAGGAAAUCUAUUGAUAACUGUACCAAAGAAGAAGAAAACAGGUGAUGAAGCAGAUAGAGAAAGAGUUUUUAGUCAACACAAAUUGUAGAAACAAAAUGUUUAUUUGCGCUUCAGAUAUGUAAAAACCCUAUUACCGCCUUCCGAUAAAUCUGUUUUAAAUGAAUAAAAAAAAAUAUCCUUU
rnacentral:lncRNA from 1 species